rnacentral:rRNA from 1 species
CCAAUAGCGUAUAUUAAAGUUGUUGCAGUUAGAAAGCUCGUAGUUGAAUUUCGGGGUCAGCAGGUUGGUCGUGCCUAUGGUAUGUACUGGCUUUACUGAUUCCUCCUUCUUGAAGAACUGUAAUGUCAUUAAUUUGGUGUUGCAGGGAAACAGGACUGUUACUUUGAAAAAAUUAGAGUGUUUAAAGCAGGCUAACGCUUGAAUACAUUAGCAUGGAAUAAUGAAAUAGGACGUUUGAUCCUAUUUUGUUGGUUUCUAGGAUUGACGUAAUGAUUAAUAGGGAUAGUUGGGGGCAUUAGUAUUCAAUUGUCAGAGGUGAAAUUCUUGGAUUUAUUGAAGACUAACUACUGCGAAAGCAUUUGCCAAGGAUGUUUUCAUUAAUCAAGAACGAAAGUUAGGGGAUCGAAGACGAUCAGAUACCGUCGUAGUCUUAACCAUAAACUAUGCCGACUAGGGAUCGGAUGAUGUUAAUUUUUUAAUGACUCAUUCGGCGCCUUACG